AUGGCUUCUAGUACUUUGAACACAUCACCUCAAAGUAACCUCUUUGGAAGAUUAGCGGAAAGAAGCAAAACUCUGAAGACCUUGGUUCACGAUAUCCAUCUUGUGCUAACUACGUGUCAGAUGGCUUUUGAGGUGAUGGGGCUGUAUUGGUUAACAAAGUCCUGGCCUUCAUGCAACUUACAGUCUACUAACGGGAGCUCAUGUGACAUCAGCAAGGAAAUGCACUUAGUCCUUUGUAUCUGUGAGUUCUGCAUCUGCUGAUUCAACCAGCCACGAGUCAAAAAUAUUUGCAAAAAAAGCCCUUUAAAUUGUAUUGAACAUGUACAAUUUGUUUUCUUUUUAUUUUUCUCUAAAUGACACAGUAUAACAACGAUUUGCAUAGCAUUUACAUUGUAGUAUAUGUUACCAGUAAUCUAGAGAUGAUUUAAAGUAUAGGGAGAACGUGCAUAGGUUACGCUGAAUACUACACCAUUGCAUGUCAGGGACUUGAGUGCUAGGGACUCUGGUAUCUGGGGGAGGUCCUGGAACCAAUUGCUCAUAAAUACUGAUGGAUGACUGUAUGUUGUAUCUUGAUGCAAUGAAUAAACAAAGCAGAUAACAGUAACUGACAAGCGGUAGAAGGUGAGGGAAAAUGAAGGGGUUGCUAUUUACGUGUUUAUAUGGGAUGAUCAGGGCAGACCCCACAGAGGGGAUAUUUAACAGAAACUGAAAGUAUGGGAAGCAGUCCUGAGAACAUGUAGACCAAGAGAGCUCGGUGUGGCCACGGGAAGGGACUGGUCAGAUCUCGUGGCCCCUGGGGACUGGGUGACUAUUAGCUGCUAGCCAAAAGCCGGCUGCCGCCCUGAAAUCUACCACUGUCAGCCAGUAACCAAGCAUGGCAGGGUAUAAAGGCA
rnacentral:lncRNA from 1 species